rnacentral:rRNA from 1 species
UCCUACGGGGCGCAGCAGUGAGGAAUAUUGGUCAAUGGGCUUACGCCUGAACCAGCCAAGUCGCGUGAGGGAAGACUGCCCUAUGGGUUGUAAACCUCUUUUGUCAGGGAGCAACGCCGGCUACGUGUAGCCGGACUGAGAGUACCUGAAGAAAAAGCAUCGGCUAACUCCGUGCCAGCAGCCGCGGUAAUACGGAGGAUGCGAGCGUUAUCCGGAUUUAUUGGGUUUAAAGGGUGCGUAGGCGGAAUGCCAAGUCAGCGGUAAAAUCGCGGGGCUCAACCCCGCCCAGCCGUCGGAACUGCCGG